rnacentral:rRNA from 1 species
CCUAACGGGAGGCAGCAGUGAGGAAUAUUGGUCAAUGGGCGGAAGCCUGAACCAGCCAAGUAGCGUGCAGGAUGACGGCCCUACGGGUUGUAAACUGCUUUUAUACGGGAAUAACGCGCCUUACGUGUAGGGCUUUGCAUGUACCGUAUGAAUAAGGACCGGCUAAUUCCGUGCCAGCAGCCGCGGUAAUACGGAAGGUCCGGGCGUUAUCCGGAUUUAUUGGGUUUAAAGGGAGCGUAGGCCGCAUGUCAAGCGUGCUGUGAAAUGUCCGGGCUCAACCCGGGCCUUGCAGCGCGAACUGGCGUGCUUGAGUCCGCGGAAAGCAGGCGGAAUUCGUCGUGUAGCGGUGAAAUGCUUAGAUAUGACGAAGAACGCCGAUUGCGAAGGCAGCUUACCGGCGCUCAACUGACGCUGAGGCACGAAAGUGCGGGUAUCGAACAGGAUUAGAUACCCGAGUAGUC